UACGUAGGGGGCGAGCGUUGUCCGGAGUUACUGGGCGUAAAGAGCUCGUAGGCGGCUUGUCGCGUCGUCCGUGAAAACUUGGGGCUCAACCCCAAGCUUGCGGUCGAUACGGGCAGGCUAGAGUUCGGUAGGGGAGACUGGAAUUCCUGGUGUAGCGGUGAAAUGCGCAGAUAUCAGGAGGAACACCGGUGGCGAAGGCGGGUCUCUGGGCAACAACUGACGCUGAGGAGCGAAAGCGUGGGGAGCGAACAGG
rnacentral:rRNA from 1 species